GUCAGAUGUGUAUAAGAGACAGGUGAAUCAUCGAAUCUUUGAACGCAACUUGCGCUUAAAAUCAAUCAUUUUAAGCACACUUGUUUGAGUGUCGGUUUAUAACACACUUUUAAUGUGUUUGAGUUUCAACCUGUAUUGGUCGUUACUUUAAAACUAUGCUAUGAUAUUUGAUUAUCUUUCACUUCUUAGUAUUUCUUUGAUUUGUAAUAGAUAAGCCUUUUAUCAUUCAUUCCUCUCCCUUUCUCGACCUCAAAUCAAGUGAGAUUACCGGCUGAACUUAAGCAUAUCAAUAAGCGGAGG
rnacentral:misc_RNA from 1 species